AUUUGGUCGAAAGUGUGUAUCGUGCAUGGAUCCUUGCGGUUUAUUACUAUUGGUGGUCUUCUUAUUUACUUUACUUUUAACACUUAUAUCCAUAUUGAGAAAAUUAUUUUCUCAGUUCAUGAAAAUAUACACUUUGUAAUAUUACUUCCGGAUUUUGAAGAAUAAAAUUUUGAUACAAAGAAAUUGUGAGAAUGGAAGAGCUGUACUCAAUCUAUUUGUUCAACGUGCAAUAGUCGGGUAUAUUAUAGCUGUAAAAGAAUCUACAUCAGUCCAACUAGAAAAAUCGGAAAUCCGGUCAAAAUUCGGUUCUAUCAUGCAGUAAAAAUUGGAUGAAAAGAAACUGAUUCAAAUUCGGUAUACCGUCGAGUUCAACCAGAACUGGUGAACCAGAUAUGAGUUUUACAGGUCUAAAAAGCUGAUUUAUUGCCAAAAAAAGGAAAAAAGAAAAAGAAAAAAAUAAGGGUUAAAGUACGUAAUAAAGCUUCACUGCGAUGUCUCUGAUUAGCCAAUAGUCAUCGGAGCCAUCACCAUAUCUAUGGUGAAGACUUUGGACUCCAUUUCAAUAAAAAUAUUGAAAAUCCAAACUAAUCAUAAAAAGAAAUGAAAACAUAUAAUAUACAAAUGAUAGUAAAGGGGAAGCCAUCAAUAUAUACACAUAAAAAAAUAUGUAUGCAUGAAAGAGAGUCGUCUCCAUCAUUGGUUACAAAAAAAAAAAAAAACACUGUUCAAUCGUCUCCGUCAUUGAUUACAUAAAAAAGAAAAAAGAAAAAAAGGCCCUGCUCUAAUUGGAAGUAAAUGAAAGCGAAAUUAAUGCAGCCCUAAAAGAAAUGAAAAAAGAGAACGGCACAUAAAUCCUCCAUUUAAAAAUCACAUUUUAAAAUUAACGAACUUCUAAAAAUCUUUCAAAAAUCAGGUGAUAAUUAAUUUUAGGGAAAACUGUUUCAUUUUUUUGCAAAUUUUACCCCAAUUUUUAUUUUGUGCCAGCGAAAGUUCCUAACCUUUCAUAAAUAUGUACCUGGGGUCCAUUUGAAUGGAAACCGUCCAGAACACCUUCAAUUUAUCGAAAAAAUUAAGGAAUCAACAUUCAAUAAAACCGUCCAAAACACCAUCGAAAAAGGUAUCAACAUCCAAUAAAAGUAUAAAACCAUCACGGUAGCAGAUAGUUCAAGAAAUUUUUUUGGUCAAUUGAUGGUGUUUUGGACAGUUUUCGUCUAGAUGGACCUCAUGUGCAUAUUCAUAAAAUGUUAGGGACCUUUGUUGACAUAAAAUGAAGGUUAGGGUAAAAUCUACAAAAAAACGAAAAUGUUAGAGACCACUGCUGUGAUUUUUUCUUAAAUUUAUUAAAUAUUUAAUUAUAAUAUACCAUAAAUGAUCUACUUACCCAACCCCAACUCCAACCCACUCAUCCAUCACAUCAAAUCCCACCCCAACUCUGGCGACUGCUCGGACGAUGGCUCCAACGACCUAUUCAACAUCGGUGACUGCUUCGGCAAUAAUUUCGAUGACCUCUCCCGUGAAUAUGUCGACGACCUCCCAACGAUGGCUUCAACGAUCCAACAACUAUUCUGAUGAACGCUCACCUUUCCGGCAACUAUCUUUUCUCUUUUCUCUUCUUUUUUGGCAAUGACCUGUGCACAUUGUGAUCUGUGACAAAUUUUAUUGAAUUUGUGAUCUAAUCAGGU
rnacentral:lncRNA from 1 species